rnacentral:lncRNA from 1 species
GGCUGGGCGCAGACGGCUGCCCUUCUCUGCCACAGGUGAGUGAACCCAGCGGGGAAAGCCGGAGCCCACGAGCGGCUCCUUGCCGCGAACUCGCCACGUCCGCCCCGGAGUCUGUCCCGGCUUCCAACUUUUAGUCCUGCCAAGUGGGACUCAGCAUCUACCCUCCAACAAUCACAGGGGCAAGGAAGCGGUGCUUCUGGGAGGUGGCGCUCGCUACAGGUCGAGACCUCAGUUUGUGGAGUUUGGAAAGUGGGACCAGCUUCAUCCCGGAAGAGGGGGGAAAAUGGAAAGUGAGCCCCCAGGGCAGGCAGCGUGACCGCGACAGGGCGGCGCCACCUCGACCCGGCUCCUCCCCGGCCAGGUGUGCACCGGGAGAAGCCAGCCGCUCCGAGGGGGUCCUGGCAGCCCCGCUGUGCCUCGCUGGGGCACCUCCUCUACGGGAGACCCCGAGACCCCGCUCUGGGGGCGCCCCGGCCCACCCGCUCGCCCGCACCCACGUCCGGUCGUCCUCCUCUCGCCCCGAGAACGGGGCAAAUGGUCCCUCGCUUGAAACCCACGGGUCCAAGUCCUAAGGGACGGACACCAGCUUCCCCCGCCUCUUCGGAGGCUCCCUGCGAGCGCGAGGCCAGCUGUUGGCAGGUGUGGAGAGGAGCACCCCACUGCCCCUCAGCAUCACAGAACCCUGGCCCUUGGGCUCCUGGCUGCCAAGGCAAGCCCAGUUCACCUCUGGAUUUACAAGCAGCAUCUAGGAUGAUGAGCCCCAUUUUACAGUCAAGGAAACUGAGGCUGUGCAAGGUAAGGAGGUUUGCCUGAAAGCCAUUACUGUAGGUUGGUGGCAGAGCAGCAACUAGACUCCCAGCUCGACCCCCACCCCACCCCCAUUCGGCGUGUGCUAUGCUAAGGAGUUUGAGCCUCAGUCAACUCCCAGUCUGAUUGGAAUAAUAAUAAUAGUAAUGCCUACUUCCGGGAGUGACUGCAGGGAUCCGCAGAGCUCGUGUAUGUGAAAGAACCCUAUUGUAAAGUACUCUUUCUUCAUUUCAGUGUCAUUGGAGGCCACGUUCAUUUGCAAAGUGGGUUCCUCACCUUUCAUUUUCAACAGGAACACCCAGAACACUCAACCCUAGUCCACCCAUAGAAGGAAUUCUUUUAUGCCUUUUAUUUCUUUUAUGCCUUUUUAAACCUAAAAAGGGGCCAUUGAAAGAUCUGCUUUAAAUAUACCUGCCUAGACAAGUACUCAGAGUGUGGCCAGGUAUUAUUCAUUAGUUAUUAUUAAAUAAGCAUGUUAGUAGCAGCCAUCAAGAGAAUAACCAUGGACCAGACACUCUGCUGAGCGUUUUACACAUACUACGCACUGAUUCUUGCGGUAGCUUAUGAAGUAGAAAGGACUGUUAUCUCCAUUUUACACAUGGGGAAACAGGCUCACAGAGGCAGAAUAAUUAUUCGAAGUCAUACUGUCAGGAAGUGUGCUGAGAGCUAGGAUUAAAUUCUAAGCCAUGGUCUUAACCACUUUGCUACCCUGUAAAAGGUUUAGCAUGUUUCCUAGGAGGUGACCCUAGUAAGCCCUCUGUGGAUCCUACAUCUCCCUAAGAGUCCUUUGCUCACUGCACAGUCCCACUGACUUUCCUUUGCCUGGGGAGGUGAGUAUGCCCCUACCCUCUGAGUCAGGAAAACGCUAUCCCGAGGCUUUGCUCCUGGCAUCUUCCAUCUUCUCCUUUCUCUCCCUGGGGUAGGGAACAAUAGAGAAAUGCCCUGGGGUGGACAUGGAAGUUAGGAUAGGAUACAGUAGGCUAGCCUUCUCCUGGUCCUGUGCCUCUCUCCAUCCCCUACAGAAGCAGUUCUUGGCAGCCCAGGUGGCUCAGCAGUUUAGCGUCACCUUCAGCCCAGGGCGUGAUCCUGGAGAUCCAGUAUCAGUCCCACGUCAGGCUCCCUGUGUGGAGCCUGUUUCUCCCUCUGCCUGUGUCUGUGCCUCUCUCUGUAUGUGUCUCUCAUGAAUAAAUAAAAUCUUAAAAAAAAAAAAAAAAAAGACGCAGUUCUUUCCUUGCUACUGACCCUGAAGAGGAUGCCUUAGUGGAGGAAGGCCUGGAUAUUUAUUGAAUUUAUUGAACCACCUUCCAGGUGCUAUGGUAUGGACUGGGGAUAAGACAGACAGCAAAAAAGGACUCAGUCCUUGGUCUGCCCUCCUGGAGCUUACAACUGAGUAGGGAAACAGAUACUAAUUAAAUUGAUUUCAUGAGCAAUUAUGAGGUUUCAGUUAUGUUAAUUGCUAAGGAGACAAGGACAGGGUAAAUAAGAGGAAGUGUUUUAGGUCAUGGAGCCUGAGAAAUCUUCCCUGAGAAAGUAAUGGUCCAACAGAGCUCUAAAGGGACACAGGCUACAGGGUGGAGGGAAGUGUGUUCUAGGAAGUGGAAUACCACUUGCUAAGGUCCUGGACCAUAAGGAACUGAGGGGGAGGCCUGUGAGGCUGGAGCAUACAGGUGGAGAGAAAGAAUCUGUUGCAGAAGGCAGGGCCCAGGUCAUUUCUUAAGGUCAUAAGACCUUAAGUCAUUUAAGGUUUUUCAGCAGACAGGUUAGUAAGGUGAUGAAAUGUAAAUAAAGCAUUUUGCAUAGUGUCUAGCACAAUGGUAGCUGAUAGAAGACAAAAAACAAAAAAAGCCUUCCCUUCAUUCUGGAAUAGUUUCUGUAUCUAUAGAUAAUGUUUUAUCCUAAUUUCUCCAGACAUCAAGGGAAUGAAUGUUCAAAAAAAAAAAUAAGGGGAUCCCUGGGUGGCGCAGCGGUUUGGCGCCUGCCUUUGGCCCAGGGCGCGAUCCUGGAGACCCGGGAUCGAAUCCCACAUCGGGCUCCCGGUGCAUGGAGCCUGCUUCUCCCUCUGCCUGUGUCUCUGCCUCUCUCUCUCUCUCUCUGUG